UACGUAGGGUGCGAGCGUUAAUCGGAAUUACUGGGCGUAAAGUGUGCGCAGGUGGCCGCGCAAGUCGAGUGUGAAAUCCCCGAGCUUAACUUGGGAAUUGCGCUCGAAACUACGUGGCUCGAGUGUGGCAGAGGAAGGUGGAAUUCCACGUGUAGCGGUGAAAUGCGUAGAGAUGUGGAGGAACACCGAUGGCGAAGGCAGCCUUCUGGGCCAACACUGACGCUCAUGCACGAAAGCGUGGGGAGCAUACAGG
rnacentral:rRNA from 1 species